GACUACAUUGCCUAGCUAUGAAUAGAAACCAACAUUGGCCAGAGUGGAGGAUGCCUGGAUCCCAAUGUUAGGAACAACUUCCUUGUUUGUCAGGAGGAGGGUGGGGAGCAGGGCGGGGAAUUAACUGCUGACAAGCAGAGAAGAAAGCAGUAGGCGGUUAGGAGGAUCUGCAUGCAGCCCCUGGUGUGGACGAAUCUUGCCUCCCAAUCAACUGCAGUCAUCGUUGGAAGAAGCGGAUGCAGAAGAGAAGGACCCAUCCCAAGGAGCAGAAGAGGACCCAGUUCAUCAGCCAGAGAGCCUGAUAGAGAAGCUUUUUGAUUUAUCCCCCUCUCUCUCUCUCUUUCUGUCCCCUCCUUACUCUAACAUGACUAACCAUCUCCCUUCCCCUCCUCUACUCUCAACUCUCUUCUGCCCUUUCCCAAAGUAACAGUCCCCUUUU